AUGGCGUCGCCACCGCCGCCGCCGGCGAAGAAACCCUCGCAACUCCACCCAACCACCAUGACCGACCUCGACGACGACAACCUGCGCGAGAUCUUCCUCCGCCUCCCCUCCCUCCCGAGCCUCGUCCGCGCCGCCCUCAGCUGCCGCGCCUUCCUCGACGCCGUCCGUUCCCCCGCUUUCCGCCUCCAGUUCCGCGCGCUCCACCCACCCCCACUCCUGGGCCUCUUCCUCGGCAUCCAAUACACCGUCACUCCUACCUUCGUGCCUCUCCUCCGCCGCUCCGACCCGGACACCGCAGCCGCCGUCCGCGGCGCCGAUUUCUUCCUCACCCGCCUCCCCGUCUCCGAGGACGACAAAGAGGAUGCCGGCCCCGGCCCCGUCCCUAAAGACGGCAAGGAGGAUGCCGUCUCUGUCCCCGUCCCCAACCCCGAAGACGACGGCAAGGAGGACGUCUCUGUUCCUGUCCCGGAAGACGAGGAUGUCAUCUCCGUCCCUGUCCCCGUCUCUGAAGACGACGACGAGGAUGCUGUCUCUGUCUCCGAAGACGACGACGACGAGGAAGCUGUCUUCGAGUGGUCAAUCGGCGCCUGCCACGACGGAUUUGUUGUUCUCGACAACUGGAGCAGCCGACAGGUGGCCGUCUACAACCCGCUCAGGCGGACCAUGGACCUCUUUCCCCUGCCGCCCCACAGGGACGAUUGCGAGGGCUUGCAUUUUGAUUACCACAUUCUCGCCGAAGAAGAAGACUGCCGGUCGUCGUACCGCGUCAUGCCAUCGGACGCCCGUGUGCUUAACACGGCUACGAUGCAAUUCUGUCGGAUGGACAUGCCACCGAGCAGCAGAGUUAAUGAAAUGUUGACGGCCGGCGAGACCAAGGAUGGAAGGCUUUGUGUGGUCUUCGCACCUAAUGUAGAACUGAAUUCCAAAUCCGCGCUCGUUGUUUGGACAUGGAGAGCCGAUGAUGACAAUGGUGUCGAGAGAUGGAUGCAGGACAAGUCGCUUCCGUUGCAGGAGAUCCUUGGGAUUGUUCAAUGUGAUUUCAGAGAUGAUGUUAAAAGAAUUGAAGUGAGUGUCAAGGCGAUCAUCGAUGGCUUUGUGUACUUGUCUGCUUAUUGUGGGAGGUGGCAGCAUCAUCAUUCAACUUGCUGGCUCCUAUCCUUCUGCAUGGAAACAGCGGUGCUGAACAACCUUGGUCGUAUCCUCCAUGCGUCUUCCUAUCCCUACAUCAUGCCAUGGCCUCGUUCUCUGGUACACAGCAAGGUGCGCCCUUGA
rnacentral:rRNA from 1 species